rnacentral:rRNA from 1 species
CGUUGUAAACUGCUUUUAUACCAGAGAAAACCUAUCUACGUGUAGAUAGCUGAUAGUAUGGUAAGAAUAAGCAUCGGCUAACUUCGUGC